GAUCAUUGAGAAGAUCAUGACUCCCGAUGUUGCAGAGGUUGAGGACCUGGACUUGACUCUGAGACAUGAGGGCGGGUUUGGGUCGAUCAGGUGUGAUGCCCAUGUGCUAGGUUUCAGUUGCAACUUUGUUCUCUGUAAGUUUGUUUUCAUUGGGGAUGAGGCUGUGCCUGGGAUGCACGCAGGUCUGGUAGGAGCAUUUUCUUGGUGAGAAAUUUUGUCGAACAAUUGGUGGGUAAAUAUUUGCUAAUUGCUAUUUGUUCAGGCACGCUUUUGAAGUAUCUCCUUGUGCUCAGCCUGUCUCUUUAUACUUGUGAUGGGAAUAUGGCGAAAGCAGUUCAAGGCCAUAGGCGGUUCAAGAAUUUCAAGAAGACAAUUAAUCCAGACAAGAUGAAUUUUGUAAACUGGUUGAUGAACUAGAUGAGGGGAAGAUUUCUUGGAAGAAAUUUAGUUCCAAAGUGAAGAAACUUCACAGAGAUCGAACAGGAGCUCCGUCUUUGAGGGAGUCCGGGGAAUUCCCAAAACUAGAGGAAAGUUUUUAUGCAAAUCCGCUCCCUGGGUGCAUUUGCAAAUCAACAAAGAGAAGGAAGUAAGGCUAAAAGGAGAAGUGUCUCCUUUCUCCGUGAUGCAAUUUUGGGUGCAUAAGAGAGAUGAACGCAUGCUGUCAAGGUUCAAGAAAUCUUGUCAUCCGAAGAUGCCACAGCUAAAUCAGAAAGUUCCUUGGCCUAGUGCUCAGGCUGGCCGGUAUUACAUUAGCGUCAUUGAGCUGCUGAAUUUAAGGCCGCUCAAGGGAUUCUGGUGAAUAAUUUGUUCAGAAGAAAAUUUACAGAAUACCAUUGAAAGAAAGAUUAUGAGCCCAUGGUGGCAAAAAAAGGAACAAAAUGAUAGGAGACUUUUAUGUUUAGGGGAUUGGAGAAAUCCCAUGAAGUGAAAUUAUAGUGAAUUCGAUUGUGUGGCACAGAAGACCUUGUAAUACUUUAAAUUACACAGAAUGAAAGAUCUCCCUUCUU